GAUAGAAACCAACCUGGCUCACACCGGUCUGAACUCAAAUCAUGUAAAGUUUUAAAGGUCGAACAGACCUUCUUUUAUAGUCUCUACUCCAUAAAGAACCUUUAAUUCAACAUCGAGGUCGCAAACUCUCUUAUCGAUAAGAACUCUCAAAGAAAAUUACGCUGUUAUCCCUAAAGUAACUUAAUCUUUAAUCCACUUUAGGAUCAUCCACUCAAACAUUAUUGUAAUAAAAAAAAACAGUUACUUUUCCUUCUAUUUUUGUCGCCCCAACCAAAUACUUUAAAAUAAUAACCCCUAAACAAAACAUACUCAUCACUUUUUAAUAUAAAGUUUUAUAGGGUCUUAUCGUCCCUCCAGAUUAUUUAAGCCUUUUCACUUAAAAGUUAAAUUCAAUAUAUUAACCUAAGACAGAUUAUUUCUUGUCCGACCAUUCAUUCUAGCCUCCAAUUAAAAAACUAAUGAUUAUGCUACCUUCGCACGGUC
rnacentral:rRNA from 1 species